AACUAUGUCCUUUUAUAUAUAUAUAUAUAUGCUUCACCCCCCCCACCUAUUUUUUACAUUUCAAUACAAUAUAAAUAUCCUAAUAAUUACCAUCUCAUUGUACUCAUAUUACGCUAUAAUCUAUCUAACUACCUGACAUUUGUGUUGUUCACAAUUAUUUGUUACAAAUCUUACAAGUCAGACUAGUUUUUUUUUGUUUGUUUGUUUGUUUUUUUUUUUUUUUUGACAGGCAGAAUGAUGGACAGUGAGAGAGAGAGAGACAGAGAGAAAGGUCUUCCUUUACCGUUGGUUUACCCUCCAAUGGCCGCCGCGGCCAGUGUACUGCGGCCGGCGCACCGUGCUGAUCCAAUGGCAGGAGCCAGGUACUUAUCCUGGUCUCCCAUGGGGUGCAGGGCCCAAGCACUUGGGCCAUCCUCCACUGCACUCCCUGGCCACAGCAGAGAGCUGGCCUGGAAGAGGGGCAACCAGGACAGAAUCUGGCGCCCCGACCGGAACUAGAACCCGGUGUGCUGGCACCGCAAGGUGGAGGAUUAGCCUAGUGAGCCGCGGCACCAGCCUUUUUAAUAAGUGAUAGAAUUAAAAAGGAGAGAAUGAUCAAACAUGGGAAGCCAGAUAUACAGCAGACUCAUAGAAUGAAAUGACAGAUGUCCUAAACAGCACUCUGACCACAGAAUCAGCCCUUAAGGCAUUCAGAUCCAGCUAAAAAGCCCAUGAAAGCUUCUCAAGCAUGGAAAGCCAAGACACUCUGGCAAAAAAAAAAAAAAAAAAAUGACCUAAAUUAAAGAACUCUGUGAGUGAGAUCCCAGCAGAAAGAAUGGGCUAUCAAAGAAGGAGGUACCUUUCUCUGAAGGGAGGAGAAAAUUUCCACUUUGACUAUGGCCUUGUCUAAAUAAGGUCAGAGUUUGUGAACUCAAGAGGCUUCCAUAGCCUUGGCAACUCAUGACAAGAGCCUAGGGUGAUUACUGACAUCAUAAACAAGAGUGUCAAUUUGUUAAGUCAACAACAGGAAUCACUGUGCACUUACUCUCCAUGAAGGAUCUCGGUCCUUAAUGUGUUGCGCUAUGCAAAUUAAAGUUGCAGGAAGUACAUUUGCAGUGGAGAAUUAGAGAGAAAACUGCAGUGGAAAUUCUAUGGAAAGAAGUGGAACACCAUGGAUCAGUGUGGAAAGUGCGGACGCUCAGGAAGAUCAUGGACACAACACUUGACCCCAGGAGCAGGAAAGGAGAAAGCAUCAGCUUUCAAAAGCUCACUUGCUAUUAGGCAGAAAGCAAUAAACUGAUACGAAGCAAAAAGUUUACAUUCAAACCAACAGAAGAAGUCAAAAUACAUAGAGAAAAACGAAUCCACUGCAACUUUUCAGAAACUAGAUCUUUCCUUCUGACUGCUACAGGAAAUAAACAAACUCUUUGUUAGUAUAAUGAAAUACCAGCGGCAGGAGGACUUUAAUAAAGAAAAGAGUUCCAGCUUGGCCCAUGGUUCAGAGGUGCAAGAUCCAGAGACCUCAUCCAGUGACAGCUUUCUUGUUGGCAGAGUCCCAAGGUGGCAACAGACAGGAAACACGCCUGACAGUCUGUAUUUCUAGCAAUCUGUUUCUCUCUCUCUCCUCUCUCUCUCUCUCUUUCUCUCUCCCUCCCUCUUUCUCCCUCUCUCUCCCCCUCUCUCUUUCUCAUAAAGCCAUUGGGAUUUAAUCACAGGCCUCCAACCUUAUGACCUAAUGUAAUCUGAACCACAUCCUGAAGGCCCCACCUCUAAAUAUCAUAAUUGGAUUAAGUUUUCAUCCUCUUAGCACCAUUAGAUUAUGACUUUGAGUUUUAAACCGCUACUUGAGUUUAGAGGCCAAAGCACACAUGCUUGUCAUUUUGUUUUCUGUGAGUCUCUCUUAUAUGCUACAAUUAGGAUCUGAGAUCUUUUUUCUUUUUAAUACUUGGCAUUAAUGCAUUCGUAUUUAAUCUGAUGACUAUUGUACUUCUGAAAUUUUAGGUUUUCAGUUUUUAUUGUGUUUCUUUCUCGUCCUCUCCCUUUCACAUGUCUUAAGUGUUACAAAAUGACUUAAGAUUUUGUUUCUAUACUUAGAGAAGAAAGUCCCUGUUCUUUCACUUGGUAUCUGCAAGGCUUUGUGAGAUCUGGAACUAUCUGUUUUGACAGCCGCCAGGAAUUCCCCACACGCCACCUCUGUGACUUCUAGUACACCUGAACCGCUUUGAAGUCUUAAGUGCAGGAUACUUCAUCUUUGGCUUUAUUUCUGUCAUUUCUCUUGCUUGUAAUGCUCUUGCUUUAUUUUUUUUUAACUUGGCUAAUUUUUCGUGCCUUUCCUCAAAUCAUUCUGCUGUCAGCUCCUCUAAAAUCCUUCUCUAAAACAUCCUCUGAGCCUCACAGCAACCUGCAUGCCCUUCCCUGGGGGCUCUAUCACGAUGUGUUUUUCAAGAACUUUAUAAAUUAAAAAUAAGAAAAUGCAAAUUUCAUUGGAUGGUUGUUUAUGUCUAUUUUUAAUCUUUGUCAGAGAUUUAGCAAUUUACUAAUAAAAACAUGGGGCUUUAAAUUUAAACUGGAAAACAGAUGUUGUCUUUUGGGAUGAUAAACUAAAUGGUUCUAUCAAUCUGGACAAGAGACAUGCUCACAAUAAAAACCAUGAAUACAGAAAAGCAGUUCUAAUCACUUCUGUGCAUCUCACAUUCAAGAGAAUUGAUACGGAUUUUGAAGCCCACCUGGCUGCUGAAACAAUAUAUUUAGGUGCAAAAGGCAAUGUUUUACUUUAUCCUCAAAUAAUUCCAUUCCACUUAGUCAGCAACGGCUCUACGAGUCACCCAGUCGCUGUGUCAGAGGUGGGCAGCAAGAAAUUACAUCCAGGCCAACAGCUCAGCUCCAGGAUAAACAAGGAAGCCCUGAGAA